AUCAUUCAAAUUUAAGUCGAUGAUGUAAGACUCACAUGGAACGGUAUGACAUGUGGGAUGCUAAUAUAAAUAUGAGCAUAGAUACAUUUUCAUCCAGUUGAUAAAUUAAUUUUCAACAAGUUGUUCAUUUUUUGUCAUUAAACUGCAGAGAUGAAAAGAAUCGCACUCCUCGUUUUAGCUCUUAUCGCUAAUGUAAUCGCCGAUGACAAAAAGGACAUGGAAGAAAUAGCAUCAGAUUUACAAGCCAGUGUACAAGAUAUAGAAUCAUGUUUGAAUGAGGUUGGGACGACUCUGAAGGAAGUAGCAAUUGAGAGACAAAAGUUGAUUGAAAUCGACGAAAAAAAUACACCGAAGAAAUGAAAAAAUCUGUAAUAGAAUACUGUCGUUUCCUAGGAUGCGUAAUGGAGCGGAUGGAUUUGAUGAAAGACACAAAGAUAGUUUUAGACAAAUUAUUAGAAGUGCUCCACAAUGAUAAAAGUGCAGUAGAUGCAUAUGACGAGGAAAUUUUAUCGAAAUGCGUGAUUUCACUAAAUGAAGAGGAAAUGGCUAAAGAGGAUAGGUCAUAUGGACUUUUGGUUUGCUUUGUUACCAGCGAAAAAGAGACGUAAGCAAAAUCAAAAAGUAAAAAGAAAUAUUCGCACAUGUAACGUUAAAUCGGAAAAAUUGUGAUAUUUCCUACGAGAACAGAAAAUAAAGAUAUGUGUCAGGAUUUAUGGAAAAUAAGAUAAUGUUCUUAUAAACUCACAAUAUUAUUGCAAACUCACAAUAAAACUUUAUGCUUAUAUAUCAUGUUACUGAUAUUAAAUAAAAUCGUCUAAUUAAAAA